rnacentral:lncRNA from 1 species
AAUUCAAUUCUAUCAGAAUAUUUUGUAUUUUCAUUGUUAAUUUCCUGAAGUCUUCUUAUUAUUUGUUCAUAUUGUAAAUAUCUACCCGGUCUAUUAACAUCUUAUUUAAUUGUUUUCAGAGACUGAAGUACUAAGGAGCAAAUGUUCUGCCAAUGUGGAGUUGAGGAGUACACACAAAAUCUGUUUCUUUAGCAGUCUUUGGGCCAAUUCUCCUGUCAUUAGUCCCACUCUUAACUGCCAUUUCCAAAGGAAUCUUCUCAAUAGAGCCCUCCCAGAAGAUUCUGUUGUACAGAAGAAUGGAGACUCAGAAAAUGCUGUAACAAAGAAAUGGAUUUUUGGUGGGAAGAAGGAUAUGAAGUAAACAAUAAUAUUCACUGAAAUAAAAU